GGGGCAUUGGUCUAGCGGUCUAGGACGUCGGCUUUUCACGUCGAAGGACACGGGUUCAAAUCCCGUAUGCCCUA
rnacentral:tRNA from 1 species